AGGACGAACGCUGGCGGCGUGCUUAACACAUGCAAGUGGAGCGACGAACCAGGGCUUGCCCUGGGGCAGAGCCGCGAACGGGUGAGUAACACGUGGGUUACCUGCCUCGAUGACCGGGACAACCCGAGGAAACUCGGGCUAAUACCGGAUGUGCCCGCAAGGGGAAAGGAAGCUUCGGCCUCCGCAUCGAGAUGGGCCCGCGGCCCAUUAGCUUGUUGGUGAGGUAACGGCUCACCAAGGCUUCGAUGGGUAGCUGGUCUGAGAGGACGAUCAGCCACACUGGGACUGAGACACGGCCCAGACUCCUACGGGAGGCAGCAGUGGGGAAUCUUGCGCAAUGCGCGAAAGCGUGACGCAGCAACGCCGCGUGGGGGAAGAAGGCUUUCGGGUUGUAAACCCCUUUCAGUUGGGAACAAUGCGCAAAUAUUAACUGUAUUUGCGUUGAUAGUACCAGAAGAGGAAGGGACGGCUAACUCUGCGCCAGCAGCCGCGGU
rnacentral:rRNA from 1 species